AAACCAACAGGGAUUGCCUCAGUAGCGGCGAGUGAAGCGGCAAGAGCUCAGAUUUGAAAUCGUGCUUUGCGGCACGAGUUGUAGAUUGCAGGUUGGAGUCUGUGUGGAAGGCGGUGUCCAAGUCCCUUGGAACAGGGCGCCCAGGAGGGUGAGAGCCCCGUGGGAUGCCGGCG
rnacentral:rRNA from 1 species